CGCCCCUCGAGGCCUCCCGGUGGGCUGUGGCGGGCGCUGGGCUGUAAAGUUGUGAUAAGCAGGCCUGCUGCUACUAGCCCAUUUUCCUGAGUUCCUAAUCUGAACCCAGUAUGGCCAAACAAAACAAAACAAAAAUGUGGAGACAGCAGCAGGAUCCUCAAGGUAAAGCUGUUACCUCAGUGCCGGCACCCCAUGUAGGUACCAUUUCAAGUCCCGACACCUCUACUUCUGAUCCAGCUCCCUGGUGAUGGCCUAGGAAAGCAGUGGAGGAUGGCCCAAAUCUUUGGGCCCCUGCAUUCACGUGGGAGACCUGGAUGAAGCUCCUGGCUCCUGGCUCCUGGCUUCGGUCUGGCCCACCAUUGGCUGUUGCAGUCAUUUGGGGAGUGAACUAGUGGAUGGAAGAUUCUGUUUCUCCCUCUCUGUGUAACUCUGCUUUUCAAGUGAAUAAAAAUAUAUUUUUUAAAAAUAAGAAACCAUUGAAAUACUUAAAUUAACAUUCCCUAAAUGUGUCCUCAGAACUGUGAAUUGGAUAUUUUAUAUGAAAAAAGGAGUGUUGGUGAAUUAGGGUAAAGUGUGAUGUUGUAACAAAUGCCAGCAUGUCAGUGAUGUAAUACAAUAAAAGUUGAUUUUUCUCCAGGAUGUUUCUGGUUCUCUUUGUGAUUAUCCAUGACUCAAUUUCCUUUCAUCUUAUGAUUUUACCAUUUCCUGGGGCCUUGGAUUCUUCUGUUUCCAACUGGUGGAAUUGGAAAGAUAGGGUGAGAAUGCACGCUCUUCUCAGUUACUUUGGCCUAGAUGUGACACUCAGCGGCUGCUGUUCAUAUUUUUAUAUUCUGUUGACCAGAACUAGACAUGUGACCUCAUCUAGCUACAAGGUAAGAGAGAGAGAGAGGGAGAGAGGGAGAGAGAGAGAGAGAGAGAGAGAAUGAAUGUGUGUGUGUGUGUGUGUUUCUGGGGUGAGAAAUGGGAAAGACUAGGUGGAGGCUUAACCUGGACAGCCACAGGUAAGGAAAUAGACAAGCAUUUGUAGUUGGCAAGAGUGGAAAUUGGGGACAUCUGAAUAGAGGGCACUGUGCAGUGUCUGUUACAAAGUUUACAAAAUGCACAUAUCCUUUGAUCUCACUCAAAGUUCUACUUCUAGCAUGUUUUCCUACAGAUAAAUUCACAAAUAUAUGCACAGUUACAUUUUAAGGCUAUAUCUAUACUAUAAUUGUAAGAGAUUGGAAGCAGUCUGAAUGUCCAGUAGAGACAUCUGAGUCUACGCAUUCUUUUAUAUCCAUACAAUGGAACACUCUACAGGUCCUUAGAGAACAAAGCAGCAGCAUUUAUGUAUGGCAAGAGAAAAGCAAGGUACAAAACUCUGUGUGCACUGCUUCCAUCUAUGUACAAUGUAGCCAUACAGUCAGAAUAUUUGUGGGAGGACCACAAGAAACUGUUAAUAGUAAGCACUUCUGGUUAAAACUGGUAAGAGAGAGAAGAUAGGCUGGGAGAGAGACAUGCUUUUACUGUGUACUCUUCUAUACCUUUUAUGGACAU